ACACGACUACAUUAGAUACCCCUGUAGUCCAGGGUGUAAACGCUGCGGGCUUGGUGUUGGGGGGUCCCUUUUGAGGGCGCCCAGUGCCGGAGAGAAGUUGUUAAGCCUGCUGCUUGGGGAGUACGUCCGCAAGGAUGAAACUUAAGGAAUUGGCGGGGGAGCACCGCAACGGGAGGAGCGUGCGGUUCAAUUGGAUUCAACGCCGGACAACUCACCAGGAGCGACGGUUACAUGAAGGCCAGGCUGAUGACCUUGCCUGAUUUUCCG
rnacentral:rRNA from 1 species